UUUGCUGCGGCUCAGGCUUGCCGUGUGGAGCUGCUCAUCUCUGCUGCGUGAAGAUGCAAAGGACACCAAAGAGGGAAAUGCCACCAGGACGAUGGUGUAAAAGAAAAUUGAAUUUUAAAGACUGUGGGGAGAAAGAACCCAAAGUGCUCAAACAGAAGGUGGGAGGGGAAGAAGAUCAGCAGAGCGGUGCUGCAGAGGAGGAUCUGAAGUUUGAUGUGGCGGCUCCAGAGGAUAAGAAGGAGACGUCAGCUGUGAAAAAGACUAAAAAAAGAAAAAGGAACAGGAGGAGGAGGAAAAGACGGAAUGUUGGAGAGCAGACACCUCACUUCCAGAUAAACAGACUUCAGCUCUGAGAAUUGUGCGUCUGACUUCAGUGGCCUCGGUGGGUGAUGACAUAGCAGGCUGCCUGCCUGCGACCGAUUGACACAAUUAACACAGUGAUGAGGAGCUGCGAGUAAAAUUAAGGGUCCAGAGAAUAAAGAGGAAAAGUCUGGUGUAAAAAAGACAAAAAAAAGAAAAAGGAACAGGAGGAGGAGGAAAAGACGGAAUGUUGGAGAGCAGACACCUCACUUCCAGAUAAACAGACUUCAGCUCUGAGAAUUGUGCGUCUGACUUCAGUGGCCUCGGUGGGUGAUGACAUAGCAGGCUGCCUGCCUGCGACCGAUUGACACAAUUAACGCAGUGAUGAGGAGCUGCGAGUAAAUUAAGGGUCCAGAGAAUAAAGAGGAGAAGUCUGGUGUAGAAAAGACAAAAAAAAGAAAAAGGAACAGGAGGAGGAGGAAAAGACGGAAUGUUGGAGAGCAGGAGCAUGGUGUCUCAGUGCAGGGAAGGGAUAAGAAAAGAGAUGGAUGACAGCAGGCGAGUCCAAGGGCCAAAGAGGUCAGGAGGUCUUUGGAUUCUCAUAGAGAACAAAGAUGUAAACAAUCGGCCUGAGGACAAGAAGAAGCAGUGAAGCGGAG